UACGAAGGGGGCUAGCGUUGCUCAGAAUCACUGGGCGUAAAGCGCACGUAGGCGGCUUUCUAAGUCAGGGGUGAAAUCCUGGAGCUCAACUCCAGAACUGCCUUUGAUACUGGAGAGCUAGAGUCCGGAAGAGGUGAGUGGAACUGCGAGUGUAGAGGUGAAAUUCGUAGAUAUUCGCAAGAACACCAGUGGCGAAGGCGGCUCACUGGUCCGGUACUGACGCUGAGGUGCGAAAGCGUGGGGAGCAAACAGG
rnacentral:rRNA from 1 species